GGUGGCUUGUGAAAGUCGGAUGUCGGCUGCCACCUCCGAUAGUGAGUCGGUGAUAUGGGUUUGGCCGCUCGACCGGUUGGAAACAGUAUUGAUCUGUUUGGCCGACAUACCUUCGGUCGGAUUUUUUCGGCAGUCAUUGUCGGAGUCGUCUGUCCGUUCGGUGGAUAGAGUCGGGCGUCGGUCGGACCGUUCCGAAGAUAAGUCAGUAUAUAGGGGUCGACCGGUAUAUCCAACAGAGACAUAUGGGGCAUCUU
rnacentral:lncRNA from 1 species